UACGUACGAGGCGAGCGUUAUCCGGAAUUACUGGGCGUAAAGCGCGCGCAGGUGGUCCGGUAAGUGAGACGUGAAAUCUCCCGGCCUAACUGGGAGGGGUCGUCUCAUACUGCCGGACUUGAGGACUGCAGAGGUGGGUGGAAUUCCUGGUGUAGUGGUGAAAUGCGUAGAGAUCAGGAGGAACACCGGUGGCGAAGGCAGCCCACUGGGCAGUCUCUGACGCUGAGGCGCGAAAGCUCGGGGAG
rnacentral:rRNA from 1 species